ensembl:lncRNA
GAAAGAGUAGCUCCUACUGCAGCCCACUGCAGACUUUCCACCUACCCACUUCCAAGGAAUCCCCCUGAUAGGGUUCUUGCAUCAUCUCACAUCAUUUACAACAGGAGCUUUGAGAACAUUGUGUCGGCUGCCCAGUUAUUGACUUGAAUGUGACCGUGGUACCUCAGGCACACGUCAUCCUUUUCUCAUUCUUGCUGGGCCUUCCCAUCCCAUCCUCAUCCCAUAGCAUUAUUUUUUUCUGUUUUCUUUGAAAAAACUUGUAUGGGAUUAACCUUAAAGACUGUCAGUACCUUUCCAGCAGGCCAAUGCUUCUCUCCUGUUCUCAGGAGGGUCAAGAUUUACUCCCACACCAUCUAAGUGCACUUGCAUACUUACACCACCCAAAGAGAAACAACUGCACAGGAUUCGGGUGCCCAACGAUCCCAGGUGACACUGAGGGACCCGAGCCUUGGUCCCACAUAAGACACCAAGCACCAAGGAAUUCAGGAUGCUCUCCGAUGGAUGAGAGCCUCACAUGAUAAACUUAGCCAAUAUUUCUGAACUUACUGAUCUAAGUGCACGUGGUGGCGAUGGGUUGAAAUUGAUGGUCUUGGAAGUCUUUUCCAAUCUUUAUGAUUCUUUGAGUGGGCACGGCGGUGAUGGUUGGACUUGAUGAUCUUAGAGGUCUUUUCCAACCUCAGCGAUUGUAUGAUUCUAACCAUUGCUGGUCUGUUUCCCGGAAUCUGUAAGUACAUAAAUAAAGUGAGGCUACAAGUAGGCAAAGACGUGUAGGUUGUGUUGACUAAGUCACAGCUCUUGCAUCAUCGUGUGCAGCACAGCCACUCAAAGUUAGCUAUAAUGAAUGGCAAGCUGCAUUUGCUGAAGUAAGGUGGCGAUUAAGUGACGAGCAAACAUUUUCUGAAGAUCAUUUUACACUGACACGCUUUUAAUAACAAACCAGACGUCUUUUUUCAUCUAACAUUCUGUAAUUGUUAUCUGCCUUGCUUCUGUCCUCAGGCUGUCUGGGCUGCAACGCAAUGACCACACAUUGGGAGCGCGCUGCAACUCACUGGGAGCUAACAGACGGAAUUGCUGCAGGCAGCAGGGUGCCUUCUGGGUCCCCAGGAGAUGAUCAUUCCCGAAGGGGCUUCUAAGCUAAGGAGGCAGCAUCCGGACCGGAGCAGGAGCAGAGGACACCGUGCUGACACAGCCGCGUCUCCCCAGCCGCAAAUAGGCGCGCUGCGUGCCUCAAACCACUUCCAUUUGUAUCUGCGCAGACGGAUGUCAGAGAUAUUGAGCAACGUCUCUCUGUGCCCUUCAGUACGCAAAUCAACCCCGUUUCUCUUCCCGGAAUUUCCCCUAGAGCGGUUAUUAAUUAGAGACAGAGAAGCAGCAUUGGCUUAUCUAUUAAAACGAUGAAAUGUAAAUUCAGAUGGAUGCAGAGAAACACUUCUUUUCUCUAUUUACUCUCAAUUUGCAUCUCGAUGAGUCAAAUCCCCACAGUCUCAUCGCCAAGCCAAACAAAUUCAUCAGCGAUUGAAGUCGCCCCGUGGGAUCGUGCAGCACCACGCGUGGCUUUCGUGAGCGCUAUUUAGAAGGCGCUCAAAGAGCUCCACCGGCUCUCAGCGUGCGGGCACCGGCGGGCGGCUGAUGUCCCGGGGCACGGGGAAGGCUUACAGAACCCAGCGACGUAGAAAGGGAGGAAAGCACCAGGUGUAGAGAAACCAGAAGGAGCCGACGUUAGCAGCUGGAGGCAAAAUACUGAUUUUAUUUUUUUUUUUUCCAUCCGGGAGACGCGAAGACGCGGACGCUCCUCGGGCAAAGAGCGCACGGCUCUCCCUUCCCUUUCCUUCCCCUUUCCCGCAGCUCCCGCCCAGAGCCGUCGGUGUGGCCGAGCCGCAGCGCAGCGCGCCCGGGGCCGGGAGGGGCUGAGCCCGGCAGCGUCCCGCCCGCUCCGCCCGGCCCCCAGCCAGGUACGGCGGCAGCCUCCGCCCGGCACGGCUCGGCCCGGCCCGGCCCAGCCCGACCCGGCCCUGCUGCUCAAUGCUCCUCGCUCCCAGACCGUCCCAACACUCUCCUAGCACCGUCUCGACUGUCCCAGACCAUCCUCGCGCUGCCCCCCUGGUGCGAACCCCUCCGGCUGCCCCCAUUGCGGCGGUUCCACGCGGCUGCGGGGUGGGACACCGCUUCCAGGCCAGGUGCGGUGGUCGCAGUUUCCACGCCCAAUUUCCACGCCUCGGUCAAAAGUCGCUCGAGUUGUCAACUUGGCCGAAAAUGGCCGAACGCGAAUUUCUUUUAUGCUUUUGCAUUCUUUUUUUUUUUUUUUUUUUUUUUUUUUUUUUUGCAUUUCCCUCCCUCGAAGUCGGGGCUGAAACCGGGAGAUAAAGGGAAGCGGCGGUGAGCGCUGAGCGGCCCGGGAUAGGCGGGGUGGGAGGGGGGGGGGUGAGGGGGAAAGCAGAGCCCCGGCUCCGGCCGCAGCCCGGGGAGGGGGGGACACGGAGAGCUCCGGGGACAGCAGCCGCAGUCUGCGGGGAGAGAUAAGGGCCGGGCCCGAGAAACCGUGACAAUGAAAUAUCGAGAAGAGGGGAUCGCUUGGAAGCAGCCGCAGCUCCGCCGGAUCGCUCAGAGAGGGGCGGGGGGACAGAGAGCGCACCUGGCAGCGGGACGGGAUACAGGGGGACACGGGGACAGGACAUGGGGACAGGGGGAUAUGGGGACAAGGGGAUACAGGGGGACACGGGGACGGGGGGAGGAUAUGGGGACGGGGGGAUAUAGGGACAGGGGGAUAUAGGGACAGGGGGAUAUAGGGACAGGGGGACAUGGGGGGGCCAUGGAGCAGGGGGACAUAGGGACACAGGACAGGGAGACGUGGGGACACGGGGACAGUGGCAGCGUGGAGAGGGAGCCCGGCGGGGCAGAGCGGGAGCAAAACUGAAAGUCCCAAAUUACCCCAAGGCGCGUUUGUCGGUGCGAUGCUGCGGGGCGAAACGAACGGAAUUCACUCACAGCCCCUGAAAGUUUUGCGUCGGGUCGUCGGGUUGUUUUCUUUUCUUUUCUUUUCUUUCUUUCUUUUUUCUUUUUCUUUUCUUUUCUUUUUUUUUUUCUUUCCCCCCUCGCUUUUCAGGCAGCCGGGAGUUACUUUCCGCGUCGCCGUCUCUUCGGUUUACGUAUUUUCAGCGCACCGCAAAGUUUCCAUCGGUGAAAUCCCCGCACUCCCCCGCAGCCGUUCGGCUCUGGGGACGCCGGGACCCGCCCGGAGCAGCCGCACAGC